UUAUCUUUACCCUUUUAUUUUUAAAGAUGUUUACUAUUUAUGUUCACUUUUACCUUCUUCCUUUUCAGAUUCAUCAAGAAAGACAGACAUCUGAGAUGUACGAAUAUCCUGUAAGACUGACCCAAAUCCUCUUGGCUUGGAAGAAGCAGCCUGCUCAAUAUCUGCAUAGAUCUCUAUUGCAAUGAAAAUUGUCAAGGGUGAGUACAUUUAAAACAUUAUAGAAAAAUAAUGGUUAUAAUAUUAAUUUGUUCUAUCUUUUAUAGGACAAGUAAAAUAUAUGGUCAUGACAAUAAAUGCCACACCUAUAAUUACGUCUCUGGGUAGGUGGAUAGGAAAACAUAUAACUAAAAAUUGUCUUACUUAUAGUCAAUCUAAGGGUGUCUAAUCAGGAUACUGUACUUUCUGUUAAACAGGAUGUUGUGAACCCGAUAACAUGAAUGGUUUCUAAGGUGGGAUAUUUAAUUACACAGGAAAUAUUUACAAGAGAAAUAUGCAUCCCAGUAUCUUCUCUUCCUUAUUGAAUGGGUCAUGAUCUAGGGGACCAUACACUGGGCAUUUUAAUUUAACUCUUCAUUUACCUUUUUGCUCAGGAUGUCAUUGAAUGACAUAAUUUACAUAUCACCACUGACAGAAAUGGUGUUUCAAUCUCAGCUACUCUUCAAGCUAUACUAACGGGAUUUACUGAGCUGUGUUUGAGUCUAGUGUGGUGCUUGAUGCCGUGAAACAUAGUCCUCCUAAGGCUUAUUUUUCUCUCUGUAGGAAAAUGAUCCAAGAACAUGGUGACAAACUUUAUAUUUUUGAGCUAGUAAUUCUGGCUGGGUCGGUAUAUUAAGAAGUCUAGUACAGUUUGCCUAUGUUUACUGUCAUAGUGCAAGGGACUUGUUCUGAAUUUUGUAGACACCAUUACUCAGAUGAGGGUUUCCAGAUUACUCCUCAGAACUGAGCAUCCAGGGGUCAAAGAGGCCUGAGAGAAACAAUUUAAUUGAAAAUUGGCAGUAAAAAUAUUGUCAGCCUGGAGAAGGAAUUAGAUCAAUUAAAUAUGAGAGGGCAUUCAUCAUCCUGAGUCAUUGUCAACCAGUUGAAUUAAUAGUAUACAUUCCUUUCCACACAAUGCAGUAGUUUUACCUUUGAAAUCAUAACAUGAAAGGUGCCUUGCUUGCUAUAGUAUCCUUAAUUUUCGAAGUUUAUUCGCAGUUUUUUUCUUAAUUUUGGCCGAAGGUUGUACUGUAAGGUGACUCCCUACAAGUAACGCCCUUGUAAAAUCCCCCUCUCCUGAGUAAAAGUGGAGCCUGUGACUUGCUUCUAACCAAUAGAAUGUGACCAAGGAGUUGGGAUGUUACUUUCCUUGACUGAGUUACAUCAUACAAGAUUCUAUUUUAGUAGAAUGGAGUGAGAGGUUCUCCUGAUGGCACUGAAGAAGUAAACAGCAUUUUGUAAGGUAUUUACUGAGAGGGGCUGCAUGGCAAGGAACUGCAUGCAGGUAGCCUCUAGGACCUGUGGGCAACCUUUAGCAGAUAGCCAGUGAGAAGACGGGGCCCUCAGCCAUACAGCCACAAAGGAAUGAAUUUUGCCAAUAAUCUUACUGAGCUUCUUCAGUUAAGCCACCAGAUGAGAAGAAAGCCUGGAUAUUGCCUUUAUUUAUUGUCCUGAGAUCCUGAGUAGAGGAACCUGCUAAGCCAUGCUCAGACUCCUGACUUACAGAAACUGUGGGAUAAUAAAUACGUAUUGAUUUAGCCAUUAAAUUCAUGGCAGCUUGUUAUGCAGCAGUAGACACAU
rnacentral:lncRNA from 1 species